CUACGGGUUGCUGCAGUCGAGAAUAGUCUACAAUGGGGGAAACCCUGAUAGUGCGACGCCGCGUGAACGAAGACUCCCUUCGGGGUGUAAAGUUCUUUUCUAUGUGAGCAAUGAUAUUAAGAUGAAUAGUUUUAGUAUAGAGAUAUUAGCAUAGGAAUAAGCUCCGGCUAACUCCGUGCCAGCAGCCGCGGUAACACGGGGGGAGCAAGCGUUGUCCGGAAUUACUAGGCGUAAAGGGCAAGUAGGCGGAGAUGUAAGUCAGUUGUUAAAGGCAUCGGCUCAACCGGUGUAAGGCAAUUGAUACUGCAUUUCUAGAGUAAGGUAGGAGAAGACGGAAUUCCUGGUGUAGCGGUGGAAUGCGCAGAUAUCAGGAGGAACACCGGUGGCGAAGGCGGUCUUCUAUGCCAUUACUGACGCUCAAUUGCGAAGGUGUGGGUAUCAAACAGGAUUAGAUACCCGAGUAGUC
rnacentral:rRNA from 1 species